rnacentral:rRNA from 1 species
AUGAACGCUGGCGGCGUGCCUAAUACAUGCCAGUCGAGCGAACAGACGAGGAGCUUGCUCCUCUGACGUUAGCGGCGGACGGGUGAGUAACACGUGGAUAACCUACCUAUAAGACUGGGAUAACUUCGGGAAACCGGAGCUAAUACCGGAUAAUAUAUUGAACCGCAUGGUUCAAUAGUGAAAGACGGUUUUGCUGUCACUUAUAGAUGGAUCCGCGCCGCAUUAGCUAGUUGGUAAGGUAACGGCUUACCAAGGCGACGAUGCGUAGCCGACCUGAGAGGGUGAUCGGCCACACUGGAACUGAGACACGGUCCAGACUCCUACGGGAGGCAGCAGUAGGGAAUCUUCCGCAAUGGGCGAAAGCCUGACGGAGCAACGCCGCGUGAGUAAUGAAGGUCUUCGGAUCGUAAAACUCUGUUAUUAGGGAAGAACAAAUGUGUAAGUAACUAUGCACGUCUUGACGGUACCUAAUCAGAAAGCCACGGCUAACUACGUG